rnacentral:rRNA from 1 species
GAUCCUGGCUCAGGAUGAACGCUGGCGGCGUGCCUAACACAUGCAAGUCGAACGAAGCAUGAUUGAAGGAGACUUCGGUCAAUGGAUAUCAUGACUUAGUGGCGGACGGGUGAGUAAUACAUGAGCAACCUGCCUUUCAGAGGGGGACAACAGCUGGAAACGGCUGCUAAUACCGCAUAACGUGCGAGAGGGGCAUCCCUUUUGUACCAAAGGAGCAAUCCGCUGAAAAGAUGGGCUCAUGACUGAUUAGUUAGUUGGCAGGGCAACGGCCUACCAAGACUGCGAUCAGUAGCCGGACUGAGAGGUUGAACGGCCACAUUGGGACUGAGAUACGGCCCAGACUCCUACGGGAGGCAGCAGUGGGGAAUAUUGGGCAAUGGGCGAAAAAGCCUGACCCAGCAACGCCGCGUGAAGGAAGAAGGUCUUCGGAUUGUAAACUUCUUUUAUGAGGGACGAGGGACGUGACGGUACCUCAUGAAUAAGCCACGGCUAACUACGUGCCAGCCGCCGC